GAUGAACGCUGGCGGCGUGCCUAAUACAUGCAAGUCGAGCGAACAGACGAGGAGCUUGCUCCUCUGACGUUAGCGGCGGACGGGUGAGUAACACGUGGAUAACCUACCUAUAAGACUGGGAUAACUUCGGGAAACCGGAGCUAAUACCGGAUAAUAUAUUGAACCGCAUGGUUCAAUAGUGAAAGACGGUUUUGCUGUCACUUAUAGAUGGAUCCGCACCGCAUUAGCUAGUUGGUAAGGUAACGGCUUACCAAGGCACCGAUGCGUAGCCGACCUGAGAGGGUGAUCGGCCACACGGGAACUGAGACACGGUCCAGACUCCGACGGGAGGCAGCAGUAGGGAAUCUUCCGCAAUGGGCGAAAGCCUGACGGAGCAACGCCGCGUGAGUGAUGAAGGUCUUCGGAUCGUAAAACUCUGUUAUUAGGGAAGAACAAAUGUGUAAGUAACUAUGCACGUCUUGACGGUACCUAAUCAGAAAGCCACGGCUAACUACGUG
rnacentral:rRNA from 1 species